UAGAUUUCAGAUUAUAGCUAUUAGAACAAAGUUAGCUUCAGGUUAGCCUUUGAACAUCCAACCCUAUUUCUCUUCUAUUUCCUCCUCCCUCACUCUCCUUUUCCCUCUCUCCCUUAGAAGCUUCAGGUUAGCCUUUGAACAUCCAACCCUAUUUCUCUUCUAUUUCCUCCUCCCUCACUCUCCUUUUCCCUCUCUCCCUUAGAAGCUUCAGGUUAGCCUUUGAACAUCCAACCCUAUUUCUCUUCUAUUUCCUCCUCCCUCACUCUCCUUUUCCCUCUCUCCCUUAGAAGUAAAGGAGCCCUAAAAUCUGCAUUAUUGAAGCUUAGAGAUCCACCCCCUUGGGAGCUUUGGGAAGGUCAAAGGCAUCAAGAGGAAGCUUUUGGAGAGAGAAGAUGUCAACCUUACCGAUGUUUCUUGUGCUAGGAAGAGAAGCAGUACCGAGACUAAUUUACCGGGCAGGGCUGAGAUCGAGUAAACAUUAGACGUAGCUAGUUUUGAUUUUUAGUUCCUUUUGUUUUUACAUAUAGUAUUUUCCGAUGUGAAUCGUUGGACUUCAUAAAUGAUCGUUUGUUAUUUGCUUUUAUUUCGUUAUUUCUUCGUACCCACUUUUAUUACUUAUGAUAUUUUGUGGACCGAAUCUCUUUUGUGAUUCGUAGUAA